GGCGAGCGUCAUACGACCAGCUCCCUCCGAACUCCCCCAGGCCGGAAACGGAGCAAGGGUAGGAGGUUGAUGCGGUGCGAUGUGAUGGCUCGCCUUC
rnacentral:SRP_RNA from 1 species